CGGGGCCAGCCGGGAGGUGUGCGAGCGGCGGAGAAGGAUGCUUUUCCAGUCUGCAGAGCUGGCUGGGCCUAAGGGAGAACUUCCCAUCAAAAAAUUGCUUGCAGGAAACAUUAGGCCGCCCUUCUCCUGUGCAAAGGUGAAAUGGCUGCACGUCGAGCAAGAAACGUGAGGGUCCCCAGCCACGCAUUUAGUAUCUCAAGCAAUGAAGUUAUUACACUGUAGAAAGAGGACAUACAAGGCAGUGCUCAACCCACAGGUGCAGUCUAGAGAUAAAGCCUGGUACAAGGAACACCAACCUAACAGUCAAAAACAGCACCACAGCUAAACUCCAGUCUCCUCUUCAUUUUGUAAACAUGUCCACUGAAAGAAGAGAGGAAGCCUGAAUUAAAAUAA
rnacentral:lncRNA from 1 species